rnacentral:lncRNA from 1 species
ACAGAGCCGGAAUGGAAUGGGAAAGAAAGGGGAGUUAGGAUCCUAUCCAUCCCAAUUUAUGCCCCAACCACCUAACCUCCAAGUCCACAAAGCCCUUCUUUGUUAUCACAAUCUUGGAAGAGACAAAGAGCAUGUGAUUGAUCCAUUGCUAGGUCCAUCUAUCUGCAGCAUCUCUCUCUCAGACUGACCCACCCCUGUCAACUCUCACACCAAAAAAAACCAAACACUGCACUUAUUGUG